CCGACCGUUAAGAAAACAAAACAUAAAGAAUCCAAGUUUGACCGUUAGAUUCAACAUAUAUAUCAACUUACCUAAAUGCUAAGAUGAUGAUGAAACGAUGACGUCAGGUGAGAUUUUUUUUUCUUUUUUUUUUUUUGUCAUCGGGGUGAGACAAAAUAUCACAUUUUUACCCUAUUUGUGUCUCUUUCUCUUUCAGUAUCUCUAUCUACACCUCUAGACGGACCUAUAUCUAUAUAUCUCCCUAUAUAUAUUCUUAUCUC
rnacentral:lncRNA from 1 species